GCGAACGUUGGCGGCAUGGCUAAAACAUGCAAGUCGAACGCGAAAGCGGGGCAACCCGCGAGUAGAGUGGCGAAAGGGCGAGUAAUGCGUUUCUAACGUGCCUCAAGGCCAGGGAUAGCUCGGGGAAACUCGAGGUAAUACCUGAUGAUCCGGCUGGACUGCAUGGUCUGGCCGGCAAAGGCUUGCUUCCUUGAGAUCGGGAAACGUCCUAUCAGCUAGUUGGUGAGGUAACGGCUCACCAAGGCGAAGACGGGUAGCCGGUGUGAGAGCAUGACCGGCCGCAUCGGGACUGAGACACUGCCCGGACUCCUACGGGAGGCUGCAGUAACGAAUCUUCCGCAAUGGGCGCAAGCCUGACGGAGCAAUGCCGCGUGCAGGAUGAAGCCCCUCGGGGUGUAAACUGCUGUCAGGGUUUACCAACGCCAUGAGGAAACCCAGAGGAAGGGGCGGCUAACUCUGU
rnacentral:rRNA from 1 species